rnacentral:lncRNA from 1 species
GGACACUGGGCAGGGUAAAAGGGCAGCUCUGAGGCUUUCAGUAUGUGCUGCAGGUGUUGGAGAGCCAGGACAAGGACCAUGUGUCCUGUGGCAGAUCCCAGCAGGAAGAGGCUCCCAGUAACCAAAGAGGAGCAGAUGGGACUUUGCAGCAGUCAAAGGCACAAAGGAGAAGGGACUGUAGCAGGGAUGGAGAGCUCUGGAUUAGGAAAUGCUUGGAGUAGAGGCAGGGAAAGGUGAGUUUAUGCUGUUUCUGCCACACUUUAUGGUUCCCCCCAGACUCUGAACCUAGAGACGCUUUAUUGUUACAGAAGCUUAUUUGACAGGAUGGGGGGGUGGUUAAUAAUUUUUCUAAAUAAAACUGACAGCUGUUCCCCUCUUGGGCUUCUAGAACCAUCCUCACAGAGCCCUGUGAAAUCAGAGGUACAGAAACCUGAGAGCCGUGAGUCCCAGGUGAGGGGUGUUGGUGUGUCCUGUGCCUCAAAGGCCAAGAAGGGCACAGCAAGCAUGACUCGUGUGUCAGCUGCUCUGUGAAAAGCUGGUGCUGACCAGGCAGGAGGCAGAAAUCUCUCCUCCAACUCCUUGGGGCGUAGACAGUUAAGUUUCUGCGUUUGUAAGGGAAACAUGGCAUUCCUUACAGCUGAGCCUCCUCCCUCGGGUUCCCACUGAAUGCCUGAGAGAUGACAGCAGAGGGUGUCUCCAGAAGGCUCCUAUUAAACAGGAGGAAUUAGCACGGAGGGAGCAACAGCGAGAUCCCAGUUUUGACCACAGAAUGAGCUAAAAAGCGUUGCAUCAGCAGCUGUUUGCAGUUUCUUACCCGCUGGCUGCGCACAGCUCCCGUUCAGGGGGCUCCUGUGCCCUCCUCUUGGUACCUCCGCCCUCCUGGAGUGUGAAGGGCUGUGCUGGGAGGGCAAAUCGGCUCCAAACCGAAAGUGCUGAGGCGGCGUGAGGCAGGGCAGAUUCACCUUGGGAGGGCAGCCGUGGUUCAGACACACUUACAACUAGUCGGGUGUCCCCAGCAGCACGAACCAGGCGGGCAGGGGAGCGGGUGAGCUGAGUAUGUGGACAGAUGGAACAGAUACAGACAGGAAAUGGGGAAGGAAGGGGGGAAAUUAAUGUUUGUAAAGCUUUAAGGGGGCUCUGGUUAGUUCUGAGAAAGAGGUUGAGCCCUGCAGUCCAGUUUCUGUUUUUAGCUCUGUGACCGUAUAACUUUGGGAGGCGAUUUGAGCAGUUCGAGCCAGGUGUGAGUGGGGAGAGGACAAAAACCCGUGGGCACCAGGCAGCUCAUGCGAUGUGGCAGCUGCCACCACACCCUUUCCUGUUCGCCCCGCGGGCAGCCCUGCCAGCCGCGCUGCCUGAGUGAGGAGAGAGGGGGAAAGGAGUGCUUUCCAAGAUGCUGAUAACCCCCAGCACCCGGCAUUCCUUGGAAAAGGAGAGGUAGUGAGCAGCUCUCGUGGUGUCUCUCCCCUGGGACAAGUCAAACGCUCCCAAAAGCCCCGGGAGCUGCUCCGGGGUGGUGCUGACUUUUGGCCGUGCCUCAGCCUGGCUCCUGUUACAGGCGAUGUUGACUUAGGGAAAAAGGCACCGGGCAUACUUGGCAUGGGCGUUCCGAGUUAAAAAUUGUCAGUCUGGGCAAACAGACCUUUGGGGUGAACUGCAGGAGAGCCAAGUGCCUGCACUGCGUUAUGGCAGCUCCUGUCAGAACACCAGGGGCUGACCUGGUGCUGCUCUGGGUGCCGAGCGCCCGGCUCGGCGGGUUUGGAGAAGUGCUGCAGGUUUUGGAGCUCCGUCCUUUAGACCAAACCCAUUUCCUUCCCCUCGGUGAGGUGCUCGUAGUGCCUCAGUGAGUCAAUAAGCUCUGCAUGUGAGGAAUGCACCUCCCAGCUGAAGGUGAGCCAUUGGUGUGGCUGUGCUGGAGGCAAGGAGACUAAUUAGUCCUUCCCUUAGACUUUGAGCUGCAGAAGUAAGAUAGGUGAGAUAUUUAGCCUGGAAUAUCCAUGUGAGGCAUUUUCAGAUGCUGGUUUUAACGGUGUGAGUCUCACACAGGAUCUGUGUCUUGGUCCUUAGUUCUGUAGCAGUGUCUAGUUAGGAGGAUAACCUGUACCUGGCAGAUUUGGGGCAUUCCUGAUGGAUUUGGGCACGUGUUCUAGGAGCUGCUGUUUACUGGCAGGGUGAAAGUGAGAUCACAGUGCUGUGGUGGGGCUUUGCUGUGAGUAUGGAGAAACAGGGAAGCAAUUUCUGUAUUAAAAUAUAAUAAAGUUUGGGUGAGUACAAAGUGUC